rnacentral:rRNA from 1 species
UACGAAGGGGGCUAGCGUUGUUCGGAAUUACUGGGCGUAAAGCGCACGUAGGCGGUGUUCCAUGUCAGAGGUGAAAGCCUGGGGCUCAACUCCAGAAUUGCCUUUGAAACGGGAACGCUUGAGUCCGAGAGAGGAUGGCGGAAUUCCUAGUGUAGAGGUGAAAUUCGUAGAUAUUAGGAAGAACACCAGUGGCGAAGGCGGCCAUCUGGCUCGGUACUGACGCUCAGGUGCGAAAGCGUGGGGAGCAAACAGG